rnacentral:rRNA from 1 species
GUGGGGAAUAUUGGACAAUGGGCGCAAGCCUGAUCCAGCCAUGCCGCGUGAGUGAUGAAGGCCCUAGGGUUGUAAAGCUCUUUCACCGGUGAAGAUAAUGACGGUAACCGGAGAAGAAGCCCCGGCUAACUUCGUGCCAGCAGCCGCGGUAAUACGAAGGGGGCUAGCGUUGUUCGGAAUUACUGGGCGUAAAGCGCACGUAGGCGGGUAUUUAAGUCAGGGGUGAAAUCCCGGAGCUCAACUCCGGAACUGCCUUUGAUACUGGGUACCUAGAGUAUGGAAGAGGUAAGUGGAAUUCCGAGUGUAGAGGUGAAAUUCGUAGAUAUUCGGAGGAACACCAGUGGCGAAGGCGGCUUACUGGUCCAUUACUGACGCUGAGGUGCGAAAGCGUGGGGAGCAAACAGGAUUAGAAACCCUUGUAGUCC